rnacentral:rRNA from 1 species
AGUCGAGCGAGUCUGCCUUGAAGAUCGGAGUGCUUGCACUCUGUGAAACAAGAUACAGGCUAGCGGCGGACGGGUGAGUAACACGUGGGUAACCUGCCCAAGAGAUCGGGAUAACACCUGGAAACAGAUGCUAAUACCGGAUAACAACAGAUGAUGCCUAUCAACUGUUUAAAAGAUGGUUCUGCUAUCACUCUUGGAUGGACCUGCGGUGCAUUAGCUAGUUGGUAGGGUAACGGCCUACCAAGGCGAUGAUGCAUAGCCGAGUUGAGAGACUGAUCGGCCACAUUGGGACUGAGACACGGCCCAAACUCCUACGGGAGGCAGCAGUAGGGAAUCUUCCACAAUGGACGCAAGUCUGAUGGAGCAACGCCGCGUGAGUGAAGAAGGGUUUCGGCUCGUAAAGCUCUGUUGUUGGUGAAGAAGGACGGGGGUAGUAACUGACCUUUGUUUGACGGUAAUCAAUUAGAAAGUCACGGCUAACUACGUGCCAGCAGCCGCGGUAAUACGUAGGUGGCAAGCGUUGUCCGGAUUUAUUGGGCGUAAAGCGAGUGCAGGCGGUUCGAUAAGUCUGAUGUGAAAGCCUUCGGCUCAACCGGAGAAUUGCAUCAGAAACUGUCGAGCUUGAGUACAGAAGAGGAGAGUGGAACUCCAUGUGUAGCGGUGAAAUGCGUAGAUAUAUGGAAGAACACCGGUGGCGAAGGCGGCUCUCUGGUCUGUUACUGACGCUGA